ACUAUGCUCAGUCGUAAACUUUAAAUUACACCAAAUUCGCCUGGGAACUACGAGCUAAGCUUAAAACCCAAAGGACUUGACGGUACCCUAUAUCCACCUAGAGGAGCCUGUCCUAUAAUCGAUAAUCCACGUUUAACCUCACCAUUUUUAGCUUAUUCAGUCAGUAUACUUCCGUCGUCAGCCUACCACAUGAGCGAUAGUGGGCUUAAUGUUUAUUCAACAAUACGUCAGGUCAAGGUGCAGCUAAUAAAAUGGAAAGAGAUGGGCUACAUUUUCUAAUCUAGAGCAUACGAAAGACUACUGAUGAAAGCUAGUCGGAAGGCGGAUUUAGUAGUAAAUAGGAACCAAAAAGUCCUUUUUAAUCUGGCCCUAGGGUGUGUACACACCGCCCGUCACCCUCCUCUUAUGCCAAAAAUAGUUAUUAACAACACUUAGCUUAUCAGAUGAGGCAAGUCGUAACACCAU
rnacentral:rRNA from 1 species